rnacentral:rRNA from 1 species
ACGGGGUGCAGCAGGCGCGAAAACUUUACAAUGCGGGGAACCGCGAUAAGGGGACACCGAGUGCCAGCAUCCUAUGUUGGCUGUCCAUAUGUCUAAAUCACAUGUGUUAGCAAGGGCCGGGCAAGACCGGUGCCAGCCGCCGCGGUAACACCGGCGGCCCGAGUGGUGGCCACUAUUAUUGGGUCUAAAGGGUCCGUAGCCGGUUUGGUCAGUCUUCCGGGAAAUCUGACGGCUCAACCGUUAGGCUUUCGGGGGAUACUACCAGGCUUGGGACCGGGAGAGGUAAGAGGUACUACGGGGG